GUUUUAGGGGCGGGUAUCGCCGUUUUUAAAUUAAAAGUUUAAUACCUAGUCUCGGUCACCUAAAA
rnacentral:tRNA from 1 species